CUUCCGUUCAAGCUAGAUUUGCAUUUUUUAAUUUAUUUAAAUAUACUGCUGUGACUCUAUAGCAGACAGAUAUGUUCCACCAUUUUAUAUGCAGUGCAGUAGACUACAUGUCCCAUAAUGCGUGGCAAUGAUUCGGACUGUUAGAGCAUAUUGGGAGAUAUAGUCUACAGCAGGGGCAUGGCGUCCUUUUUCCAGAGGGAGAGGGAGAGGGAGAGGAGAGGAGAGACUUACUUGCUCUAACGAGUUUACAAUAUAGAAUAGUUCCCGAAUUUGGUACCAUGAGGUGGAAUUGCCAAAUAUAAGCUAUCUGUUAAACAGCUGAAUGAUAUAUUGAAAGGCCCUUUAACUAACAGAGUGAAAUGCGAUUUACAUAGCUGGCCCACUACAAAAAUAUUUUACAAGCUUUUAACCUUACCUUCUUCCCCUCAGCAUGGCAAUCUCCGUCCACUGGAUCAUCAUAUGACAGCACUUGGAGGCUAGUGUACAUGAGCUGCAUUCUCAACGCUGCGCACAUCAGCAUUUCCUCUGACUCAAUACAUCUUUAUGGGUAGCCUUCACCAUCUCAAUGCAGUGUGUAGAGAGGCCAAAGAUCCAUCCUGCAAAAUUUGCAAUACCUCAUCCUGGAAGCCUCGCUAGUGGC